rnacentral:tmRNA from 1 species
GGGGCUGACUGGUUUCGACUUUGUACGCCGAUUCAGGGGAAGCGUGCCGAGGAUCGCCGACAGUGUCUCGUUAAUCAGUGUCGGAAACCAACAAGUGCCAACUCUAAGCGCACUUCCUUCGCUCUCGCUGCCUAAGCGACAGUGAAGGUGCCGGCCCGGGAGCCGCGUUCGUCCCGGUUUGCCGGCAUCAUUUAGAACGCUAGGGCGUCAGGACUGGCCACAGGGCCUGAACCCGAAAAGGACAGUGGCUGGAGCCCGUCACACCGACUUGCUCGCGUGAUCGGUGGGGCUUGAGGAAAGACACAGCGAGCUGCGCACGGAGAAGCCCUGUCGAAGCGAUGAAGGACCCGGGUUCAAUUCCCGGCAGCUCCACCA